rnacentral:rRNA from 1 species
AAAAAAAAUAGCGCGGUGGUCCCACCUGACCCCAUGCCGAACUCAGAAGUGAAACGCCGUAGCGCCGAUGGUAGUGUGGGGGAACUGCCAGGCAUCAAAUA